GUGUCAGCAGCCGCGGUAAGACGAACCGUCCUAACGUUGUUCGGAAUCACUGGGCUUAAAGGGCGCGUAGGCGGGUCAGCAAGUCCGGGGUGAAAUCUUUCGGCUUAACCGGAAAAGUGCCUUGGAUACUGCUGGUCUAGAGGGAGGUAGGGGCAUGUGGAACUUCCGGUGGAGCGGUGAAAUGCGUUGAUAUCGGAAGGAACGCCGGUGGCGAAAGCGACGUGCUGGAUCUCUUCUGACGCUGAGGCGCGAAAGCCAGGGGAGCAAACGGGAUUAGAUACCCUGGUAGUCC
rnacentral:rRNA from 1 species